rnacentral:lncRNA from 1 species
AUUGAAUAAUAUGUAUUGUUCAAUUUACAAAGAGAAGUAGCAGUCGUUAAGGUAGUCAUAUUAAUGUUGGUAAGGUCAAAUAGUCCAUAUACUUGUACCACUAUAUAGUGAAUCAUUGGAAGCUCUUAAAUUAUAUCGACCUACAAACAUACGAACUCACAACAAGCAAAUCGUCGCUUUAAAAACUAUACUCUAAAUAAAUAAAUCAAAGUCAUAAACUACUUGACCACUCUUCAGUCUCGCUCUAAUAUCAUAUAAAGCCACAAACACAUGAUCUACCAAUUUUUAAAACUAUAACUCUGAUACCAAGUAAAAUAGCAUGCUAUCCGAAAUAGAUUAAUUGUAUUGGCCCA